UGCCUUUGUGUUGCCCUCUCAUUGUAUUCUUCAUGAACAGGGUGUCAACUAAGGCAUACAGUGACUCUUGUGGUUGUGACAGAAAUUCAUCUUCACUGAUCCAUUUCUACACAGUCAACUGCAAGCACAAAU
ensembl:snoRNA